CCUACGGGGGGCAGCAGUGGGGAAUAUUGCACAAUGGGGGAAACCCUGAUGCAGCGACGCCGCGUGCGUGAAGAAGUAUCUCGGUAUGUAAAGCUCUAUCAGCAGGGAAGAAAAUGACGGUACCUGACUAAGAAGCCCCGGCUAACUACGUGCCAGACGCCGCGUUAAUACGUAGGGGGCGAGCGUUUUCCGGAUUUACUGGGUGUAAAGGGAGCGUUGGCGGCGCUGCAAGUCCGGAGGGAAAGCCAAUGGCUUAACCAUGGUACUGCUCUGGAAACUGUGGAGCUUGAGUGCGGGAGGGGCAGGCGGAAUGCGUAGUGUAGCGGUGAAAUGCGUAGAUAGUAGGAGGAACACCGGGGGCGAAGGCGGCCUGCUGGACCGUAACUGACGUUGAGGCUCGAAAGCGUGGGGAGCAAACAGGAUUAGAUACCCGUGUAGUC
rnacentral:rRNA from 1 species